AUACCCGACGAUGCCCCGUCCGUCCCUCGCCGCCGAGGAGGCGGCGCAUCUCACACCUGACGACGCAAGACCCCGGGAGGAGGGCAGGUACGGUCCCCCCUCACCCCCAUCCCCCACGGCCCAUGCUCGCCACCGGGGAGGCAUCAGUGGCGGCAGAUCUAGCCCCCGCCCUUCGUUCGCCGGCGCGGAGGAGGGAUGGCAGGCGACUUGUCCCUUCGUUCGCCGGCGUUGGGGGCGAAGGGGCGGCGCCUCACAGUGAUGGCUCCACCCGCCGGCCACCGGCGCUACUGUGGGCCGAGGGGUGCUCAUGCCACCGGCUGCGACCGCCCGUCACCUCCCGCCGGCGGCCACCGCGGUAGGCACGCGGCCAGGGGCCAACGCCCGGACGGCCACUGGCGACAAGGGCAAGGAGCAGGGGGGCACCCCGCAUCACAUCCCAAUUCGAGCGAUCAAAAUUCCCGAUGAUUAGAUGAACUGUGUCAUUAUAAAGAUUGCUGGACUUGUACGAAAUAAGGCUGCAGGAAUAAAAAACUUUUUUUCCUUUUUUGCUGCACAUGGAUUCAUAUGGUGAAAAGAAUACUCACACGGCCUCUUGAUGUGUUCUUCUGUCCUGGCGUGGUGGCUCAAACCUAGUGGUCCUAUUUGUAGUCUGCACAUGUGGAGGCUGUAAUUUUUUUGCCGUCAAACUGAGUCUACUCAAGAAUUCAUUCAUAUUGAUCUUGUAAUCCAAUGUAAAAGCUCACUUACAGAUGAUGUACUUCUUUCUGAUCUGUUUCAUGCGCCUGUGUGUCUGCUGCUUGCAUUGGCACGCCUGUUUCUUGCAUCUUCAAGUAAUAAUGCUUUAAUCUUGCA